AAGUCGUAACAAGGUAGCCGUAGGGGAACCUGCGGCUGGAUCACCUCCUUAUCAAGAAUUCUCCAACUCGCUAUUUACUUGCAAGGUUUCUUACCUUGUCGGUUUAGAAAUGGGCUUGUAGCUCAGGUGGUUAGAGCGCACGCCUGAUAAGCGUGAGGUCGGAAGUUCAAGUCUUCCCAGGCCCACCAUUUCUUAGUGGGGGUGUAGCUCAGCUGGGAGAGCGCCUGCCUUGCACGCAGGAGGUCAUCAGUUCGAUCCUGUUCACCUCCACCAUUUUCCAACUCGACAAGAAUUUAUGUUGCUAGUCUUUAUCGUCAGAGUGUCUUUUGACACUAUGGCGCCCAAGCAUAGCAGCUUGUGAUCAUUGACAGACGAAUAGGUGAAGAGAAGAGAGUUAAGAUGUUAAGGGCAUACGGUGGAUGCCUUGGCGUCAGGAGGCGAUGAAGGACGUGGAAGGCUGCGAUAAGCCUCGGGGAGCCGUCAAGCAGGCUUUGAUCCGGGGAUUUCCGAAUGGGGCAACCCA
rnacentral:misc_RNA from 1 species